GACGAACGCUGGCGGCGUGCUUAACACAUGCAAGUCGAACGGAAAGGCCUCUUUCGGGGGGUACUCGCGUGGCGAACGCGUGAGUAACACGUGAGUAACCUGCCCUUUACUUUGGGAUAACUUCAGGAAACUGGGGCUAAUACCGGAGAGGUGCUCCUGCUGCAUGGUGGGGGUUGGAAAGUUUGGGCGGUUGGGGAUGGACUCGCGGCUUAUCAGCUUGUUGGUGGGGUAGUGGCUUACCAAGGCGUUGACGGGUAGCCGGCCUGAGAGGGUGACCGGCCAAUUUGGGACUGAGAUAGGGCCCAGACUCCACCGGGGGGAAGAAGGGGGGAAUAUGGCCCAAGGGGUGGAAGCCGGAGGCAGCACGGCCGUGGGCGGGAUGAGGGCCUUCGGGUUGUAACCCGCUUUCGCUCAUGACGAAGCUUUGUGUGACGGUAGUGGGUAAAGAAGCACCGGCUAACUACGUG
rnacentral:rRNA from 1 species